UACGUAGGGUGCGAGCGUUAAUCGGAAUUACUGGGCGUAAAGCGUGCGCAGGCGGCGCGUUAAGACAGGUGUGAAAGCCCCGAGCUUAACUUGGGAAUUGCGCUUGUGACUGGCGUGCUGGAGUGUGGCAGAGGGAGGUGGAAUUCCACGUGUAGCAGUGAAAUGCGUAGAUAUGCGGAGGAACACCGAUGGCGAAGGCAAUCCCCUGGGCCUGUACUGACGCUCAUGCACGAAAGCGUGGGGAGCAAACAGG
rnacentral:rRNA from 1 species